rnacentral:rRNA from 1 species
GGGCCCGCACAAGCGGUGGAGUAUGUGGUUUAAUUCGAUGCAACGCGAAGAACCUUACCAGGGUUUGACAUCCUGCGAAUUUCUGGGAAACCGGAAAGUGCCUUCGGGAGCGCAGUGACAGGUGGUGCAUGGCUGUCGUCAGCUCGUGUCGUGAGAUGUUGGGUUAAGUCCCGCAACGAGCGCAACCCACGUCUUUAGUUGCCAGCAUUUAGUUGGGCACUCUAGAGAGACCGCCGGUGAUAAACCGGAGGAAGGUGUGGAUGACGUCAAGUCAUCAUGCCCCUUACAUCCUGGGCUACACACGUACUACAAUGGCCGGUACAGAGGGCAGCUACAUAGCGAUAUGAUGCA